GGAGAAUCGCUGGAAUCUCGGAGGUAGAGGUUGCGGUGAGCCAAGAUUGCACCAUUGCACUCCAGCCUGGGCAGCAAGAGCGGAACUCGAUCUCAAAAAAAAAAAAGAAAAAGAAAAAGAAAGAAAAAAGAAGAAAUGUCUUAGGUAAUUAUUUGGGUUAUUCAGAGAAAUGAAUUUAGAAACAAUAUUCAAAUAAAAAGCUAGACCCUAGUUUCCUAGACAUAGGAUAUCAGGGAAACUACCUUUUCUCUUUCUCUGGGUAUUUUCUAGGAUAUAGCCCUCUAUUUCUGUGCUGGAGGGUAAAAAGAUGUGCAAAAGAGCUUUGUGGGUGGUUGGGCCCCUUGGGGCCAAAUGUAUUUCUGUGUAGGAGUAAGACUGACAGAAUUAACUGUGCAAGCACUUACUAAUUGGCGGUAAGUGAACCUGUACCCAUGGCAUCAUUUAUAAUCCAGAGCUCCUUGAACAGAAGCAACUCAGAAGAAAAGUUCCUAACAACUAAGGCAAGGCAUUUUUGUGUGCCCAAUUACUGUGGCAUGUUAUGCUUUCUUAUAGCAAUGGUUGGGAGAAGCAAGAAUUCAGUUCUUCUCAAGCAUAGGACUUAGCUUUUACUUGGCGUUGUUGAGAUUGGUUAAAAAUUAUUUUAUGGGCACCAAAUGUGAAUUGCAUAGAUUGGGCCUCAGGUCACAUAGAGACAAAUUCAGUGUAUUCACCAUUCUUUUUUUUUUUUUUAAUUCAUCAGUAAACUAACCUGUGCUUCUUCACAUAGUGUCUCAGGGUUCUUUUCAAAGUAGAGGGUUCUUUUGAAAUACAAAAAUUAGCUCCAGCUAAUAGUAGAGAUGGGGUUUCUCCAUGUUGAUCAGGCUGGUCUCGAACUCCUGACCUCAAUGGCUCAAGCCUGUAAUCCCAGCACAGUAGGCCAAGAUGGGAGGAUUGCUUGCGCCUAGGAAAGGCCAGCCUGGGCAACAUAGCGAGAGCUUAUCUCUACAAAAAGGUCCCCCCCCCCAGAAAUUAGCCGAGCGUGGUAGCAUGUGUAUGUAGUUCCACAGUCCCAGCUACUCAGGGGGCUGAGGUGGGAGGAUCACUAGAGCCUGGGAGGCAGAGGUCCCCAUUGAGCAGAGAUCACAUCACUGCACUCCAGUCCAGGUGACAGAGCAAGAUCCUGUCUCAAAAAAAAAAAAAGUAUCUUUAAAGAGACAAAGAUUCUCCCUAAUGAAAACUAGGCCUUAUCCUUUUUUGUCUGAUAAAAGUCAGAGGUUGUGGUGAUGAGACUGAGCUAGUGUCCUUCUAGUCUGCCUUUACUUUUACUUCUGGGUCCCUUUCCCCUCCCACCUUUCUCCCUUUGUCUGUUGUGGGUCUCAGUAUUUAAGCAGAAUUUUUUUUUUUCUCUUGAGACAGUCUGGCCCAGGCUGGAGUGUGGUGGCGCAAUCUCGGCUCACUGCAACCUCUGUCUUCUGGGUUCAAGUGAUUCUCCUGCCUCAGCCUACCUUGUAGCUGGGAUUAUAGGCAUGCGCCACCAUGCCCAGCUAAUUUUUUUGUAUUUUUAGUAGAGACGAGGUUUUACCAUCUUGACCAGGCUGGUUUCGAAACCCUGGCUGAUCCAUCUGCCUUGGACUCCCAAAGUGCUGGAAUUACAGGCGUGAGGCACCACACCCAGCCUUAAGCUGAAUUUGAACCUGAUUUUCUUUAAGGCAGAACUUAACAGAGCCAACACGGGAACUAAUUGAGAGCUUAUAAAAGCCACAAAGUGUUUCUUGGUCUAAAUAUUUUUCUGGAUUCUGCUGAUGUGAAGCAACUGGGGAAAAGUCGUAAAAUGUUGUACAGCUUAUUUUGCAAACUAAUUAAAACUGAAAAUAUCAAUGCAAAGCUGAAGUAAAUUGUUUAAAAUGCCCAGUUUCUUCACUCCCAUGUUCUAGGUGGAGAGGCCACAGGGACAGGUUAGGAGCAUAUGCUGUGAAUAAGUUUCUGGCUAUUCUAUGUCUUACCUGGGAAGAAUGUGAAGGUCCUAUGGGAUAGACGCAGCACCAGCACCACGGGUUGACUUGGGACUCUUUGCAUAUCUAACCACCCCUAAAAUAUACCCUCUAAGUGAAAAACAGUGUGCUUGCUCUGCUGGCAGCUUCAAGACAAGUCACCUAACCUGUGCACACCCUACUCAUUCACCUGCCAACCCUGAGACUCAUUUAUAGAAUUUCUUGAGCUUCCACUGGGUGGAACUAACAAAUAAAUUGGCCAUGGGAUUUGGAGAUAAUAUCGCUGAAGGAAACACUGACUGGCUGAUUUCCCCUCUCAACUUCAUGGAUACCUUUUCCCCUACUCUGUUAUUAUUUCUGGGUAGUGUGUGUUGGAGGUUUGGUUUGUGUGGACUCAUCAGUCAUUGUUUUCAGGCACCGAUUACAGCUCUCCACCUUUUCCUUUGUGAUAUUAGUGUCUCCCCUACACGGAAGAGUGACCAUUUUCUGAAAGGCUAAUGCAGCUAUGGAGGAGAACAGUGUUCUUUUCUGAUACCUGGAGAAUAGCUGUUAGAGUUUAGAAUUCCUGAAAAAAAUUCAUUUUAGUCUUGUUAUUUUAGAAUAUCCUUUAUUUGAAGCUGCCUGCUUUCUUCACCUUCUUUCUUGUGAAUGCCGCAGUUCCCUGUUCCACCUUUCUCCGAAUCUGAGAUCUUACAGUAAAAAAGAAGUAUGCUACAAGAAAUUAUGGGAUUCUUGUAUCCAGAGCAAAGUGAUGAUGAUUGCAAGUUGACUAUUUGACAUUUUACAGUUUUAUAUGACUCAUAACUUUUGUGUGGGGAGCAUAACUGAAACAAAUUAUCAAACUGGGAAUGGCCUCAGGGGCACUGUCUCUGAAGGAAAGGGUUGGAAUUUUGAGUCCUUGGGCCUUCUGAAUAUGACAAAUUGAAUUAUCCUAGGAUUCCUCUGUCUCUCGUUUUCAUUUUUCAUUGGAUAGUCUGUGAUGGGAGGGGAUUUUUGCAUACAGAGAAAUAGACUCAAUCAAAGAAUACAGCAAACGAAUACAUGUGGAAUUAAGGUCCAGUCUACCCCCUCAAAGAAAUACAUGCUUGUCUUUUCCUUUUCCAACCUAGAGCCUGGACAUUAAACUGUUGAAUAUUUUGUCUAUCUUCCCUUUUGGCUUUGAUGUUCUUAAACAUUGAACAUUAGCAAAUGUCAUGGAGACACACCCAUAACUACUUUCUUGUAAGGAAAUCAAGGACUUGAAUUCCUCUCUUAUUCAUAAUUAAUACUUUGCAUUCCAAGUUAUAGGUAGUACUGAGCCCUGGAGGCUGCCUGCCAGAUAGGUUGACUAGCGUUUGAAGUUAGUUGGGUUGCUAUUCUACUUUGCAGAAGAACCUAAAAUACUUUAAUUUUUUUUUCUAUUGGUAAGACUUUUUCCAUUUAAGACAUAUUCAAUUCACCUCACUCAUUUUCUCCUCUCAUCUCCUCUCCAAGUACUCAGGUUGAUCCUAUGGGAACAUAAUGUCAUCCUCCUCAUGCUAUAGAUAUAUGUGGACUUUCUCAAGCUGAGCCUUAAAAUGUCCAUUUCUCAACUGCACACUGUGCUCUUUCUCUUUUGACUAUCUUGACUUUUGUGUUUUUUUCCACUCUUCUGGCUCUCAUAUGGGUUAGCUCCCUCAGUGAACCAGUACUGUAUUUCUUUUCUUGAACUUAACCUUACCUGCUAGCCAUAGGGAAAAUCCAGAAUGAGUACUAAUCCUUUGUGGAUUUAUCCCUCUGUCCAACAGACAGUAUAGUAUAGAUGCUUAAGAACAAGGGUAGAGGCCAGGCGCUGUGGCUCACACUUGUAAUUCCAGCUCUCUGGGAGGCCGAGGCGGGCGGAUCACCUGAGGUCUGGAGUUUGAGACCAGCCAGGCCAACAUUGUGAAACCCCGUCUCUACUAAAAAUACAAAAAAGUCAGCCAGGCAUGGUGGCACAUGCCUGUAAUCCCAGCUAUUUGGGAGGCUGAGGCAGGAGAAUUGCUUGAACCCGGGAAGUGGAGGUUGCAGUGAGCCGAGAUCACACCACUGCACUCUAGCCUGGGCGACAGAGCAAGACUCUGUCUCAAAAAAAAAAAAAAAAAAAA
ensembl:lncRNA